UACAGAGGGGGCAAGCGUUGUUCGGAUUUACUGGGCGUAAAGAGCGCGUAGGCGGUCCGAUAAGUCGGCUGUGAAAGUCAGGGGCUCAACCCUUGAAAGCCGGCCGAUACUGUCGGACUAGAGUCCGGAAGAGGCAAGUGGAAUUCCCGGUGUAGCGGUGAAAUGCGCAGAUAUCUGGAGGAACACCGGUGGCGAAGGCGGCAUCCUGGACCAAUACUGACGCUGAGGAGCGAAAGCCAGGGGAGCAAACGGG
rnacentral:rRNA from 1 species